UCUCCGUUGGUGAACCAGCGGAGGGAUCAUUACAGAGUUGCAAAACUCCCAAACCAUUGUGAACGUUACCUAUCCCGUUGCUUCGGCGGGCGGCCCGGGCCCCGCGCCCGGCGCCCCCCGGCCCCCCGUGGGCGCCCGCCGGAGGUAAACCAAACCCUUGAAUUGCAUGGCCUCUCUGAGUCUUCUGUACUGAAUAAGUCAAGACUUUCAACAACGGAUCUCUUGGUUCUG
rnacentral:misc_RNA from 1 species